GACGAACGCUGGCGGCGUGCUUAACACAUGCAAGUCGAACGAUGAAGCUGGAGCUUGCUCCGGUGGAUUAGUGGCGAACGGGUGAGUAACACGUGAGCAAUCUGCCCUUGACUCUGGGAUAACUGCGGGAAACUGUAGCUAAUACCGGAUACUUUCACUGGAAGGCAUCUUCUGGUGAAGAAAGAAUUUCGGUCAAGGAUGAGCUCGCGGCCUAUCAGCUUGUUGGUGAGGUAACGGCUCACCAAGGCGACGACGGGUAGCCGGCCUGAGAGGGUGACCGGCCACACUGGGACUGAGACACGGCCCAGACUCCUACGGGAGGCAGCAGUGGGGAAUAUUGCACAAUGGGCGCAAGCCUGAUGCAGCAACGCCGCGUGAGGGAUGAAGGCCUUCGGGUUGUAAAGCUCUUUCGGCCGGGAAGAAAUCGCACAGGCUAAUACCCUGUGUGGAUGACGGUACCGGCAUAAGAAGCACCGGCUAAC
rnacentral:rRNA from 1 species